rnacentral:hammerhead_ribozyme from 1 species
AGCCGAAACGCUGGCCGGCCUGGGCCGGCGGGCGUCGUCCGUGGGUGGUUCCGCGGACCUGACGAUGGCAGCCGUUC